UGUAGCUCAGUGGUAGAGCUCUGGCCUAGCACAUGAGAGGUUCUGAGUUCAAUUCUCAGCA
rnacentral:tRNA from 1 species